CCCUUCUCUUGAAAGAAUACCUACUUUAGGGAAAUCUCUGCAACCUCCAGACAUUUAAAAAAUACUUUAAAACAACCAUUGUGCAUAUGUCUGUCUCUUGUGCCUCUCUGCUGAAGAGAGCACUGCUAUGCUAAAAACUAGCAACUGGCCAAAGUUAUUGUAAAACUUUACAAAUAUAAAGAGCUAUAUGAAUGCUAAAUGGUGUCAUCAUCAUUUCAUGGAUUAUUCUUUAGUAUACAUGAUAGAAAUUAAAAUAAGGAAGACAUUACUAACAAUAGUGGAAUGUGUUGCUUGUUUCAGUGGAAGAUUUCAAGAAGAAGCUGUCAAGGAUAUUGUAGAGUUGAUUUCUGCUUCAGGAGACAAGAUACAUAAAGAAUUUCCAUUGCACUGGAGGAACUCAGCCUGCCUGGGAAGAUCUAUUUCAAAUACUGUUAAUUACUCCAACAGCUAUCAAAAUAGGAGAAAAGGACUCUUGGAUUCAUUGCUUGCAUAUAAAACAGGUACUCUACUGAAACUGAGUGAUUAUCUUAUCACAUAUAUUGUAUUUGCUGCUGUUUGGGUUUUUUUUUUAGAUUUAAUUUUGCUUUUAAGGUUAUAUAUUAAUCUAAGAUGUUCUGUUAUACACUGUUACCUUCACUUAGUAUGUUUUAAUUAUUAGCUAUAUGUUCUUUUACAUUGUCUUAUUUGUAUUCCCUUCCUAGGAUUGGACUAGAGAAAAUGCCAUUAUAAAAGUUCCUAAACAAGUUGGACAAUUUUCCAUGGCAAAGCCAUUGGCCCCUAUGGAUGCUAGGUCUGUCACCAGAUCCAUCAGAGCUCUGUUUUGUCAUGGGCAACAAUUCCAGUCUACAGAAAUGAGACAUUACCACAGCUUGCACCACAGGAAGGUCACAUUACCUAAACAGCCUUUUGCUCCUUUUACCUUUGUUGUCACAUAGAUGAUGAGGGAUGGUUCCCAUCAAAAUGAUUACAACCUAUAUCAGUAACCUUUGAGGAAUUUAAGGAACUAAAGAUCUCAGUUGAUUUUUAACAGGUCUGCAGAAGUAUUUUUAGGUAUCUAGAAUCACCACUACAUCUAACUUAUCAUUUGCCUACCUUUGACUUGUGUGUGAUGAGCGGUAAAGCUCCAGUAAGUAGUAGUAAGUAUAUGGGUGACAAAGUGAAGUACAACUGCACCAUUCCAUUCCUUACCUUUGCAUUUAUUUGUGCUAGAGCAAAGCUUAGAAAUUCAAUGGAUGGGACACAUAAAUGCAUGUCUUUUACAACUGUUACAGUCUCAUCUUGCUGGAAGAAGGAUUUCCAUGGGGCUUGGUAACCCCUGGACAGUUCUAUGUUUGUAACUUUUCAAUUUAUUCUACCCUUUCCCUAGGAUGGCAUGGUACCUAUGGUUUGGUUUAUGUUAUUUCACCUGCAUGAUCACUAUAUUGGCCAAAUAGACAAGUCCACAGCCAGAAAUCUAGGUUCUUGGUGGCAUUCUAGAGCCAAGAGGUCAAGGCCAAAUUCAGUAACAUUCUCAUCAGCAGUACAGAGGUUUUUCUGGGCAUUCCUGCCAAAUUUUGAAAUGAUGGCAGUGAUAGACUCUUUUAGAAAUAUCUCAGAUGAGACUGAUUGGCUCAACAUACAGCUCAAGCCAUCUCCCUAACUACUUAGGCCAUCUCUUUCUUAUAGGAAGAGAUUGACUCCUUAACAAAAACAAUUUUACAAAACUGGCCCUUGACAUGCUUACAGUCACAUCAGGAGGUGUGUGUGCCUUUAUUAAUCAAUCUUGUUGUUCUUAUGUAAAUAGAUCUGGAGAAAUUGUGACAAAUAACCGUGAUCUUCAAAGGAUUUUAAAAGGCACAUAUAAAAGACAAGUAUAAUCAUCCUAAAAUCCAAGGCUUAAGAUCAUUUAAAGCAAUUUUAGGAAAAGAAAAUCACCAACAUCCUGAAUCAAGAAAGUGGAUCUUCUGGGGAAAAUGUCAUACGGAUGCCUACAGAAAUUACACAUUGCAUCAAGAGACCCAGAGUGAAUUUUGGAAUAUAAUGAACUGAACUGAAGGGAGUUGAGCCUAGCAUUUAUUCUGAAUGUAAAUUCUUAUGCCAAAGGGGAGUGCCCCCUAAUUGUUUUUUUUCUCAAUGUGUCUAUCAAUAAUUUUUUCUCUCUUAUUCUUUCUUUCCCUCUUAUUCCCCAAAAUUGUUGUAAUUCCCUCUAUGUAAAGUGCAAUAUUUUAUACACUUCUAAUAAGAGAAUCUUUAGAUAUAUAGGCUACAUAUGUGGAAUGAUUGAUUCAUUGAGGAAACUUGACAUGUUAAUCUCCUAGAAAACCCAAAUGAGGAGAUUUAAUGUGCUGGUCCUGCAAAGAAUCAACGUGGGGGAUCAUACAAAAGGAAAUUUAUUCUUCUUCCCUCGCUUGCUGACCAUUGACCUGGAAACCAGAAUUGUAUAAGGGAAACCAUUGGGUAGAUUAGGUCACAAGGAUAGAAUGGUAACAAGAAAAAGACAGCAAAGGAGUCAAGAGUCAUGAGACAAGGAGCAGGGCGAUUUCCCCUGGCACUGCCCCCAGCCCCAGGUGACAGAGGCAAAAUGGAGAGCCAUUGUUGGUUCUUGAGACAUGACUUAUGGGAAUUCGUGGGCAGAGAAGUUUAAAAACUGAGGCAAGAGCGAAUUUUGAUUUCUGCUCUUCCAUGUUUGUCUCUAUGCCUGUAAGCAUGGCUAGGGGCCCUUAUGGCGGCUAUACAAUAGCCAACUAAAUGUUUCUCUCUUAUUUUUCCAUCUUUUAUCCUACCACUUUUGGUUUAAUAAAAUUAUUAGUUUGUGGCCA
ensembl:lncRNA